CCUUUUGAUGUGAGAGUGCAGAUUAUUCAAAAAGGUAGCAUCUCUUGGUGCAAAUGAUACAGGGCUAUUGUUGAAUAUUAUUUGCUCCAAUCUGAAGCCUUGGUGGUUAGUGAUUGUGCUCUGCCAAGUUGUUAUCUCUUAAACUGGUUUCUGCCAUUGAGUUUAUAGUUUCAUAUGAUUAUUUUCUUGUAUGUAA